UAGUAGCUUACUGUGGAGACCCGGAUCUGGCAGAAUGUGACAGACUAGAUUGGGAGGAGGAGGAGGAGGAGGAGGCUGUGAGCUUUUUAAACGACGUUCGCACAGCAAAAAGCGCAUGCGGGUUCGAAGGUGGGCUCGGGCUUCUUCAGGCUCGGCUUAGUAGGAAAGUGCGGCGUCUGAAUGGAGAGCGGAGAGAGAAGGAGGCCUCUGGAGCGAGACGGAUAAGAGCAGGGUCUUUUCCGCUGCCAGUGAUACGCAAUGGGCUAUGACGUCAACAGGUUCCAGGGUGAAGUGGACGAAGAUCUCCUGUGCCCUAUUUGCAGUGGGGUUUUAGAAGAGCCGGUACAAGUAAGUAGUCCAUUUUGGUUCUACCAGGCAAGGAAAUGAUGGCUGACUUGUUUAAUCUCUCUCCAGUGACCCAGAAUCUUGCGUGUUGUCUUAGUAAAAUAAAAUGAUCAGCAACAAAGUGGUGUCUAGGAAAUCUUGAGCAGUGGCAGUUCUUAACCAUACUCUUUGGUUCUCCCUCCUGGAAGACAAGCUUGUCUAUUUGUUCUUGGUCUAACGCCUUUUCUAAAGUACCCCUAUCACUUGUUUUUUUGUAUUUCCUAUAAGUGGUGUUCUAGCAUGUCAAGGAGGGGUUGUACCGUAUUACUUCCUAAACACUUCAGGGGCACACUGAACAUUGAAGUCUGUUAGCUUACUUGUCAUUCUUGAUUAGGUACUACUCUCUUGCUUCUGUGAAAGCCAAACAUUCAGAUAUCAGCACAUCACAAGAGAAAUGAUGAUGUAGCAGAAGGUAAAGGGAUGCUAGGAGGAUGGGAAUUUCAAACCGGUGCCAACACUGAGUGUAUGUGUGGGAGGUCAGUCACCAAAAGAGACAGCAACUUACAGAAAGGAGCUGCAAGGCCACUGCAGAGCCAGAGAAGAGAGCAGGCUGGCUGCACUGGAGGGAGGGUAGAGUGUACAGGGUGAUAAGAUUGGCUGUUCUCUGCAGCCUGCCUUACUAACGAGAGUUGGCAACCGGCACUGUCGGGUGAGUUUUGAGAAGAUACAGGGGGCCAGAAUCAGCGUCUCAUCUGCCUAGGCAUGCAAGGUAGGGAGGGCCUCUAGAUUUCUUCUGUGCAAUAGAAAGAUGAGCUGCGGGAGGUGCCAUUGUGCCCCUGAACAGCACACACACGCAGCAUGCCUGGGCUUUUCGCCAUAUUUGGUUUGCUGCUGCUCUUUCUGUGUGUGCAGUGAACUAGCGGUGGUUUUUGGUGAGAAGUGCUCUGGACACACAAGAUGCAUUUCCCUAUUUAGCCAUCUGUCAUGUGUGGAUAUCGGAACGGUGCAUGUUUGCUGGGUUUAGUGGGCUGCCAGGGCGUUUUCCUUUCCUCUGUUAUUAUCAGUCUGGACUAAUGCCCAGGUGCAGCAAAUGUGAAAUUUCUUGUAUCUCAGGCUGGAUUUUCUGUUCUAUACUUUGAAACAGUUAAUUUGUAGUCUUUAUGAUGGUUGUCUGCUAGAGCUGAUGUGCAUGCCUACACACAGCAGCCAUUGGUCCAUUCUUAUAUAGCACCUUUCACAAGAAAAGACCGUACAGUAGUGUUUCACCUGCUGUCCAAACACCUGCUCAUGCCAUCAGUUUCUCAAUUGUGUGAGUUGAAGUAAGCAUGAAAGUACCCAGCAGUGGCAUCCUCUUCUGAGAUGCCCUGCAGCCAUUUUCAGCACACAUCUCUGUACUGGAAAGAACUAAAGAGCUGGUUCAAUAAGUGGAUGGCAGUGUGUCAUGUAAAACCCUCCCUUUUUUGCAAAGAAGGUGGUCCUUCUUUGUGUAUUGGUGCUCACUCUCCUCCCACCCCUCUGGCAAACCUCAUUUUUAAAAUACUCUGCACAAACUGUGACAUAUUACAGCACAUACACAACCACUUGCUUGACAGCCUGCACUCUAUCCACCACCCUUUAGUUCCAACAUGCACCAUAAGAAAAUUAAAGAAAUGAUGGAAGAGUUUUACUCAGUUAAUUAUUAUUAAAUUUAGUUGAGUGCAGACAUGGAUAUCCUUAAAGAGUGGCUCAUUCUUUAAUAUUUUGGCAUCCAGGGCUGGCAUGGCAAGGGGCUUGUGGGAUUCCAGGGGAAGUGGGGUUUGCAGUGUGAGUGGGGAGGUGUGACUGUUUUUCAUUGAGAAACCUGUCAGCAUUCUUAGUUGUGCUUUUAAAUUUGAGCCAUAGGUUGUGCCACUCAGACCCUCCUUUGAAAUCUUUCCCAUUCAGUUUAGUUUGUUCUUCAUGGGGUAACGUCAUGCACUAUUCUCACAAGUUAAAACGUGUAAUUCCAUGAAAAGCAUAGCCUUACAACAGUAAUUCAAAUGAAACAAAAAAAAAAAACAAAACCAGAAGUCAGCCUUAUUGGUUAAAUAAAAAAA